CAGCAAUCCUAGUUCCACUGGAUAUUUUUGAGUGAUUAAAUGUAUUACUCACUUCUUUUUGUAUUCAUUUUUUUUAAUAGAAAAUGCAUCAGAUGCAGAUUUAUGGCUCCUGAACAGUUGCACUGUAAAAAAACCCAGCUGAAGACCACUUUAGAAGCUCAAUUAAACAGGCUCUCACUCUGUUGCUCAGGCUGGAAUGCAGUGGUAGGAUCUCAGCUCACUGCAACCUCUGUCUCUCGUGUUCAAAGGAUUCUCCUGCCUCAGCCUCCUGGGUAGCUGGGAUCACAGGUAUGCACCACCACACCCAGCUGGUUUUUUUUUUUUUUGGAGAGGGAGUCCUGCUCUGUUGCCAGGCUGCAGUGUAGUGGCGUGAUCUUGGCUCACUGCACCCUCUGACUCUUUGGUUCAAGCGAUUCUCCUACCUCAGCCUCCUGAGUAGCUGGGAUUACAGGUGCUAGACACCAGGUCCAGCUAAUUUUCAUAUUUUUAGGAGAGAUGGGGUUUCACCAUGUUGGCCAGGAUGGUCUCAAUCUCCUGACCUUGUGAUCUGUCCACCUUGGCCUCCCAAAGUUCUGGGAUUACAGGCGUGAGCCACCGCGCUUGGCCUUAAUUCCAUUUCUAUGAUCAUUAAUGAAAUGGAGCUUUGUAGAAUAAAUCUAUAGGCUCUUUGGAUUUUACUUUUUUG
rnacentral:lncRNA from 13 species